UGAACUCAGCUCACAGGCUGAGCCGCCGCCCCAGGGAGAGGGGACGGCACCACUGACAGAGCUGGGCCAGGGCGGUCUCGUCACCCUGACACUGCCCCAGCUCUCGGGUACCGACCGUGCUGGUGCCAGACCUUAGCUGUCUCCUGGAUCCUGACAUCAGAAGAAAGAAGAAAAAAAAAAUGCAGUGCCUCGAGGGGAAAAAAAGUCAAGGUGAAUAAAUAAGAAGGAAAAUGACUGGUGAGUUUCAUCCGGAAAGGAGACUCGUCUGUUUCCAAGGAGGAGGAGAGACCCAGAGAAGGGGGUUCCUCCGUGUCGUGAACUGGAAGCUCGGGCAGCGGCCUGGUCGUCCGAGCUCCCCAGACUCCCUGAUCUUGGCCCAAAAUAGUUUCUGGUUUCCAUUCUGCCAGUCGCCUGGAGGCUUUACCGGGGAAGACGAUUCAUAAAAUGACCCAGAAUUCACCCUCCGUAGGUGACAGGACACUUACUCCUUACGUAUCUUCUAGGCCUUAGCCCGUGACCAAAUAAUUUCCUAAAACUGUUUCUGUGUCUGCCCGGCUCCAAACAGUCAGACUGGGUUUUGCCACCACCUGGAGCCGCUUUCUGUCCCCGACCCUGGGAGCCGAGAGCCCCCCCGGGCUCCCUGCGCCGUCUGGGACGGAGAAUGCAGAGGGCAGGUCUCCGGGUCCACUUGCGACUCAGGGUUUGUAACUUGUUUUUUUAUUGUUGUUGUUUUUCGAAGUCCUAACCCUCAGGCCAGUGGCAGACGGGUUUAUGUUCCCUGGGCAGAGACCGUCCCCCUGGGGCUGGAAACGGGAGGGGCUGCGUCUACAUCCAACGUCCGAGGUUUUUAACAUUGUGUCCCUGUCGUCGUCUACUGUCAUCUCCAUGUAACCACAGAAACGUGGCAGCCUCCAUCGUCUGAUGUUUUCUUUCUCUGUAAGACAUCUCCGUCUUCCCAAAGCACGAGCUGCUUCCAAAAAGAGAAGCAAAAAGGAAAACCUUUGCAUUUGCCGGUUUUCGCCGUUCAGUCACCUGCGUCCCUAUUGGGGUUCGGGAGCUGGCCUGCCUCCCCCGUCACCGUGCAGGCUGGGUGACGCCUGUCUCUCCAAGAGCAUCGUUUGCGGGCACACGCCUUCGCUGGCCGCCUUGCUCUUCCUCCUCCUUUCUGGAACGGCUUUGAGAAUUCCGACAGGGGCUGCCGGCCUGGACGUGUGUUUAGUUUUCCCUGGGAAGACUGACCAGCAAACUCCUCGGGUGCCCUGGAAAUCGUAGUCACAGGGCCCAGGGGUGACGACUAACCACCGCAGGUCACCCUCUGCCCCUUUUAGUCCAUUCAAGAGGUCUUUUCCCUGAUGAGAUAAAAAUGCUUUUUUAAAAAAACAAACAAACAAAAAUACUGCUAUUGCUACAAAUCUGUAGCUCGACAGCCCUGGGAAGCAGUAGAGAAAGGAUCCCCCAGCCCCCGAGAGCCAGUCCUCAAAUCUCAGCUGUUUGUCCAAAUACUUGACAUCAGCUUCCUCUUGGAAUGUGCUCUAUCUCAAAGAGAAGGAAAAAAUAAGCCAAACAGUCCGUUGCUUACAAGCUGGUAGGAAAAGGCCAACCCAUGAUAAGCUUGAGCUUCUAUUUUAAGGCUUUAUUUUUCCAAAUAAAUCCACAUAAACAAGAAUUUCAGAACCUAAAUAGCCGCUAAAAAGCUACUUCAUUGCCGGUUUGCCUGAAAGCCGAGGCUGGAGCUGCCUGGGCUGGAUUCUGGCGGGACAGACCUCCGGUCGCAGUAAAGAAACAAACAACCGAAUCCUCCUCCCCCAGGUCUGAAGUCUUCCCUGAACUGGCAGGAGUCUGCACAGCGGGAUGAGGGGAUGUCCCAGGUCAUUUUCCUGUGGACUGUGUGGCUCUGCGCGAAACAGAGCCUGUGUCCCCUGUGCCGAUGGCUGUCACUGGCCCGUCUGGCACGAAGGCUCAAGGUCCUCCCUCACCUUUUCUGGGGAGAGUCUGCCCUACGCCGGCGUGUGUGCCUCCCCUCUCGUUCCUCUCCACACACAGGUGCUUUUCAAUGUCUGGAUUUCCCUGUGAGUCUCACGUUUGCCUCUCGGUGCCGUGGAUGUUCGGUUGCGUUUCCUGAGACACCCGCAGAUCGGCAGUUCCUCGGCAGCUCCCGAGCCCACAGCACCAUCCCUGCCUCCAGCAGCCCCAGCCUGAUCCCAGACUACGCCACCCUCCUGCCAGCCCUCUGAGUCAGAGGAGACAGAAAACUGUCCCUUGGGAGCUUCCAGAUACGCCAGAACGUCACAAACAAGUUCCACUAUUUUCCUUUCAUCCUGGGAGGGGAACCAUGAAUCGGGCAACUCUCUCCCCCUGUGCUGCAUUGCACCAGCCAGGUGGGACGGCCAAGGGACAUAAACAUUUUGAAAUCCCAUCACUCGGCAGACAAGAAGCUCUGUCGUUUGAGGCAUUAAGUGGCUGAAAUACUCCGGCCCGCCGUGAUUCUCAGGCAUGCACAACUAGCUUAGACCAAGGUCAAGCCGACAUUUGGAGUCCGAGCUGGUGCUGUGCUUGGCGUUUACAAGAUCGUCUGAAAGGCUUGUGUGUUUUACUUCAUAUUGUUUUUAACUGCUCCAUUUUCCAGAUGUUUAUUCCUAGAGCAAUUCCCACAGAAGUAGGGGAAAUCCUUUCGAAAACCCGGAUGGCUCAGACCCCUUUGGGCCAGAGAUUUUAGACUAAACUAAAUAAAACUGGGAAGAAAAAGGUGCUGGCAAAUGUGUGUUUGAAGAUUCUGAAGAAAUCCUCUACCCAAAAACAACAAAGGCGGGACCAGGAAACAAAGGAUUAAUUUCACGUUGCCCCAUUAGCUUACCACCUGCUCUGUCUGAUUGUUGCUCGGCGGAAGGGGGAAAAGGCUAAUCUGUAGCACAUUUUUAUCAACAAACUUGCAGAAAACCCGGCCUAAUUAUCCCACUGAACCUGUGUCCUCCCGCUGCAAGGCCGUUUCCCGCCCUGGCCGAGAGCCAGCGGCCGCAAGCUGGCGUCCAUAAGCAGGGCUAGUGACAGCCCGUGCCGCUGCGGGACCGCCGUGAUUGCCCGGGGCCGCUUACAGAUCCAUCAGUUUAUGACCAUAUUCCAGAAGGAGGGGUGGGAGGUUGGCAGAGCGGGAUUCCUGGUGCUGCAGCGUAUGGACCAGCUUCACUCGGGACCCCAGAUCACUUCCUGCUGAAGAAAAUUCAGUGGGCUUUUCCCUCUAAACUGGAUGCUUUCCUGACAAAAUCAGGGUAGUGUGGGGGAAGAGGAGGGAUCCUUCUGGAAGUCAGAAGUCCCUGUUCACCCUGUUUCUCUAGCCCUGAGCAACCUGGGCCGGCCACGAAAAUCACAGAGACCAGAACUCGAUCCACUUACAGGCCGGUGGUUCUGCAGGAUGCUGUUCUCCCGGGUCAGAGACUUACCGAGUAGACGCGCAACGGAUACUGCUCGUAAAACACAUUAUGCACCAGAGACUAAUCCCGAUUCUCAGACUCUAACUUUAAAUAAGGCAAAGCCCGCCUGCCCUUCAUGGAGCUUACAAUGCCGUAGCAGGAAGACAAUAAACAAACAUACACAUAACACAACGUCAAGAACUACAGUAGUAUAAUUAGUGCUGUGGGAAAAAUAAAGGAGGAGCGGAUAGACAGUGGGGCUAUUUUAUCUGGGGCCACGGGGGACAUCUUUCAGAGAUCUUUGAGCAGAAAUCCCCCUGAAGGAGGGAAGGAGUCAAAGGAUCCAUGAAGCCCGAGAGCUUGAGCCGAGGGCACUGCUGGGUGUGAACCGAGUACAGCAAAGGGAUCCGUGUGAGCACAGUGGUCAAAGAAAAGGCAGGAGGUGAGAACAAGGAGGAAGCAGGGGUGUCGGGGUCUUCCGGGCUUUUCCAGAAGUUUCGAUUGACCCUGCGGUGCUGCUGGAGCACCUUGAAUGGCGGAAUCGCAGGCUCUUGCCCUGGCUGUGAGGUUCCGGCUGCUCUGCCGGCAGGGCCAGGAAGGCAGGUGCAGGUGGGAGAGGCCAGGACGGUGUGAUGGGGCUCGGACGGUGGUCACGACUUCGCAGCACUGGGAACAAGUGAAGCCCAAACCCACCAGGAAUUGCUCCAUUACUCCACGCAGCGUGGUGUUUCCUGACCCUCCCCCCACCCUUUCUUAGGGUUAAACACAUUCAGGCUGUGA